rnacentral:rRNA from 1 species
UACGUAGGGUGCAAGCGUUGUUCGGAAUCAUUGGGCGUAAAGCGAACGUAGGCGGGUCAGUAAGUCAAGUGUGAAAUCCCUGAGCUUAACUCGGGAAUUGCAUUCGAUACUGCCGAUCUUGAAUGCUUGAGAGGGUGGUGGAAUUCCAGGUGUAGAAGUGAAAUUCGUAGAUAUCUGGAGGAACAUCCGAGGCGAAGGCGGCCACCUGGCAAGACAUUGACGCUGAGGUUCGAAAGCGUGGGGAUCAAAC